rnacentral:rRNA from 1 species
GACGAACCGAGCGAACGUUGUUCGGAAUCACUGGGCUUAAAGGGCGCGUAGGCGGGUGCUCAAGUCCGGGGUGAAAUCCUCCAGCUCAACUGGAGAACUGCCUCGGAUACUGGGUGCCUCGAGUGUGGUAGGGGUGUGCGGAACUAUCGGUGGAGCGGUGAAAUGCGUUGAUAUCGAUAGGAACUCCGGUGGCGAAGGCGGCACACUGGACCACAACUGACGCUGAGGCGCGAAAGCCAGGGGAGCAAGCGGG